UGCCAGCAGCCGCGGUAAUUCCAGCUCCAAUAGCGUAUAUUAAAGUUGUUGCGGUUAAAAAGCUCGUAGUUGGAUCUCAGCUCACGCUAAGUGGUCCACUUAAUGGUGGUUACUACUUAGCUGAGCAUUUUACAGAUUUGUCUCUUGAUGCUCUUCACCGAGUGUCAAGAGUGGUCUGUACGUUUACUUUGAAAAAAUUAGAGUGCUUAAAGCAGGCAACUCGCCCGAAUAAUCUUGCAUGGAAUAAUGGAAUAGGACCUUGGUUCUAUUUUGUUGGUCUCCGGAAUCUGAGGUAAUGAUUAAGAGGGACAGACGGGGGCAUUCGUAUUGCGCCGCUAGAGGUGAAAUUCUUGGACCGGCGCAAGACGAACUACAGCGAAAGCAUUUGCCAAGAAUGUUUUCAUUAAUCAAGAACGAAAGUUAGAGGUUCGAAGG
rnacentral:rRNA from 1 species